UUGUUGGUAAGGUAAAGGCUUACCAAGGCUUCGAUCAGUAGCUGGUCUGAGAGGACGGCCAGCCACACUGGGACUGAGACACGGCCCAGACUCCUACGGGAGGCAGCAGUGGGGAAUUUUGGACAAUGGGGGAAACCCUGAUCCAGCCAUGCCGCGUGAGUGAAGAAGGCCUUCGGGUUGUAAAGCUCUUUCAGCCGGAACGAAACGGUUACGGAUAAUACCCGUGACUACUGACGGUACCGGAAGAAGAAGCACCGGCUAACUACGUGCCAGCAGCCGCGGUAAUACGUAGGGUGUGAGCGUUAAUCGGAAUUACUGGGCGUAAAGCGUGCGCAGGUGGUUUUGUAAGUCAGAUGUGAAAGCCCCGGGCUCAACCUGGGAACUGCGUUUGAAACUACAAGACUAGAGUGUGGCAGAGGGGGGUGGAAUUCCGCGUGUAGCAGUGAAAUGCGUAGAGAUGUGGAGGAACACCGAUGGCGAAGGCAGCCCCCUGGGUUAACACUGACACUCAGGCACGAAAGCAUGGGGAGCAAACAGGAUUAGAUACCCUGGUAGUCCAUGCCCUAAACGAUGUCAACUAGUUGUCGGGCCUUUACGGGCUUGGUAACGUAGCUAACGCGUGAAGUUGACCGCCUGGGGAGUACGAUCGCAAGAUUAAAACUCAAAUGAAUUGACGGGGACCCGCACAAGCGGUGGAUUAUGUGGAUUAAUUCGAUGCAACGCGAAAAACCUUACCUACCCUUGACAUGUAUCGAAGCCCGCAGAAAAGCGGGGGUGCCCGAAAGGGAACGAUAACACAGGUGCUGCAUGGCUGUCGUCAGCUCGUGUCGUGAGAUGUUGGGUUAAGUCCCGCAACGAGCGCAACCCUUGUCAUUAAUUGCCAUCAUUUAGUUGGGCACUUUAAUGAGACUGCCGG
rnacentral:rRNA from 1 species